rnacentral:rRNA from 1 species
CAAUAGCGUAUAUUAAAGUUGUUGCAGUUAAAAAGCUCGUAGUUGAAUUUUUGCUUGCCGCCGCUGUCGGAACUUCCGUACGUUCGGCGGCGUGCAUCCUUGGGUGGAACCUGUGUGGCAUUAGGUUGUCGUGCAGGGGAUGCUCAUCGUUUACUGUGAAAAAAUUAGAGUGUUCAAAGCAGGCUUACGCCGUUGAAUAUAUUAGCAUGGAAUAAUAAGAUAGGACCUUGGUACUAUUUUGUUGGUUUGCGCACCGAGGUAAUGAUUAACAGGGACAGUUGGGGGUAUUCGUAUUCCAUUGUCAGAGGUGAAAUUCUUGGAUUUCUGGAAGACGAACUACUGCGAAAGCAUUUACCAAGGAUGUUUUCAUUAA